rnacentral:sRNA from 1 species
CCCUCCUCUUUUCGUCGAAGGCGAUCGAUAGAUAUCUGCUUGCACUCAGCGUAUAUUCCUCCAAUCAGACAAGAAAAAGAACAUUUUCCCUUCUACGACAUAACCCACUCAAAUCGUCUUUAUUCUGUCAAGCAGACCCCGUCUCGGGUUGUUAGUAUUUCCCUGACUUAGACUAGUUCUCUAUAGAGUCCCCCAGUUCCUUCACUUCUCUUUUCCUCUGCUCUGUAGAUUUGCCAUAGACGCUAGUUAUAUUUUCGCAAUGGGCUGAAGGGACACCAUCCUUCUAAAUUGGUAAAGGUCCGGGGCUCAUUCAACUGUUCGUGGAGGGACUGAUAUACAGAUUACACACGGUCGGGGGUCAAACUACCUUCUUUUCUUCUUUUUCUUUUUUGUAAUCUAGAUAUUAUAUUCCACACAGUCAUAUGCACUGUACCAAAUAGCUAUCCCCUAGGAGUAAAAUAGUGAUCUCCUGCGGUACCUAACUUACUAUCUAUCCAAGCGUUGA